UACGUAGGGACCAAGCGUUGUUCGGAUUUACUGGGCGUAAAGGGCGCGUAGGCGGCAUAUUAAGUCAGCUGUGAAAUCUCCGAGCUUAACUCGGAACUGUCAGCUGAUACUGAUGUGCUAGAGUGCAGAAGGGGCAAUCGGAAUUCUUGGUGUAGCGGUGAAAUGCGUAGAUAUCAAGAGGAACACCUGCGGCGAAGGCGGGUUGCUGGGCUGACACUGACGCUGGAGGCGCGAAAGCUAGGGGAGCGAACGGG
rnacentral:rRNA from 1 species